GGAGAGGUACCGAAGUGGUCAAACGGCGCCGACUCGAAAUCGGAUGGGGCUUAAGGGCCCACGCGGGUUCGAAUCCCGCUCUCUCCG
rnacentral:tRNA from 1 species